rnacentral:rRNA from 1 species
GCUUGUCUCAAAGAUUAAGCCAUGCAUGUCUAAGUAUAAAUAACUACACAGUAAAACUGCGAAUGGCUCAUUAAAACAGUUAUAGUUUAUUUGAUACAUUUUAAAUGGAUAACUGUAGAAACACUAGAGCUAAUACAUGCUAAGACCGUAAGGUUGUAUUUAUUAGAUAUACCGAGUAGGUGAAUCAUAAUAACUUCGCAAAUCGCAGUAAUACUGCGAUAAAUCAUUCAAGUUUCUGCCCUAUCAUGCUCUCGAUGGUAGUGUAUUGGACUACCAUGGCUCUCACGGGUAACGGGGAAUUAGGGUUCGAUUCCGGAGAAGGAGCCUGAGAAACGGCUACUACAUCUAAGGAAGGCAGCAGG